rnacentral:rRNA from 1 species
GACGAACGCUGGCGGCGUGCUUAACACAUGCAAGUCGAACGGAAAGGCCCUGCUUUUGUGUGGUUCUCGAGUGGCGAACGGGUGAGUAACACGUGAGUAACCCCCCCCUGUCUGUGGGAUAACUUCAGGAAACUGCGGCUAAUACCGGAUAGGAGCUCCUGCUGCACGGGGGUGGUUGGAAAAUUUCGGCGUUGGGGGAUGGUCUCGAGGGAUACCAGCUUGUUGGUGGGGUAGGUGCUUACCAGGGCUUCGACGGGUAGCCGGCCUGAGAGGGUGACCGGCCACAUUGCGCCUGCGGUACGGCCCAGACUCCUACGGGAGGCAGCAGUGGGGAAUAUUGCACAAUGGGCGGACGCCUGAUGCGGCGACCCCGCGUGCGGGAUGACGGCCUUCGGGUUGUAAACCGCUUUCGCCUGUGACGAAGCGUGAGUGACGGUACUGGAUCAAGAAGCACCGGCUAACUACGUG